rnacentral:lncRNA from 1 species
GCCCUCCCUUCAGGCGCCCGGCCGCGCCCGGCCGCACUCAACCGCGGCUCCGCUCGUGCCUCGCCUUUCCUCCGCAAGUCCCUGUGAGCCGCCUACAGGAACGAGUGAAUCAGAGAAUGAAUGAGUGGGGAGGAAAAUCCCAGUGCUGCCCCACCCCCUGCUCGCCUUUCAUAGGAAGCCGGCCCAGCAGCCUCUGUCCUAGCGCCCUGGGAGGCACAGCAGCCUCCAGCAGUUCUGUCAGGGAGCUGUACGCAUCCACCUUUAUACGCUGUCCGUGUAUUCAGAGACUCCAGAAACGCAUCCGGGGUUGGCUCGGUCACUUACAGGACCAUUGUCGUUGAGAUCUGUGAGGCCCUUCUUUAGGAAAUCCCAUUUUGGCCAAAAAGUCUCUGCAGUUUCAUGGAAUGUAUUGGGAAACUUAGGAACGGGACAUUUCGAUGACCUUUACUUUUUAAACUUCGAAAUCUGUUAAUCCUGCCUCCUUAAUUUCUGUCCCCCCACCCCAUCGGAAUUGUGUAGUAGUAAGGUGUCGGCAUUUUUCCUUAUCGCUAAGCUCAGCUGCUGCCUCUUUAGAUGCAGGCUUGACUUCGGCAGACUUUUAGAUUUUAAGUAUGUCCUUAUUUUGACCUUCACCUAAAGUUGAUCAAAGAAAGGAACAAAUGGAACUAAGUUAUGUUUGCUUGGCUACAUGCAAAGCAAGUUUGUUGACAGCAUUAAAACAAUUGAGAAAUUGGGAGUGUGACCUGAAAUUGGUUGCAAUGAACAUUGCUUUUUCAUGUCUUCCCAUCUGCUUGCUAAGAAUUUAUUUAAAUUUUCACAAAGCAUUGACUGUACAUUCCUGAAAUCCUAGCUCCCUCUCUAAGAAUGAGAGUGUUCAUUUCUCUGUCCUGGGGCCAAAUCCUGGUUUGGUUAAUUACAUUCUUACUUCCUGAUAUUCUUGAGGACUUUCAAGUGGUUUCAGUCUUUUUUGUACAAUCUGUUCCAAACUGGUACACAAUCUGUUUCAAAUUGGUAUUUAGAACCAUACAAUACAGAUACUGGCUGCCUUUCACACUUGAGAUAUCUGUACUUUUGAAACAUAACUGCCCUUUUGUAUUUUAAGUUCAGUAGGUAUGUCAAUAUUCUUGUAUAGAAUAAUACUAUCUCUUGACUGGAUUAAGAAAAUGUGGCACAUAUACACCACGGAAUACUAUGCAGCCAUAAAAAAGGUUGAGUUAAUGUCCUUUGUAGGGACAUGGAUGAAGCUGGAAACCAUCAUUCUCAGCAAACUAUCGCAAGGACAGAAAACCAAACACCACAUGAUCUCACUCAUAGGUGGGACUUGAACAAUGAGAAC